ACGCUGGCGGCGUGCCUAAUACAUGCAAGUCGAACGAACUCUGGUAUUGAUUGGUGCUUGCAUCAUGAUUUACAUUUGAGUGAGUGGCGAACUGGUGAGUAACACGUGGGAAACCUGCCCAGAAGCGGGGGAUAACACCUGGAAACAGAUGCUAAUACCGCAUAACAACUUGGACCGCAUGGUCCGAGUUUGAAAGAUGGCUUCGGCUAUCACUUUUGGAUGGUCCCGCGGCGUAUUAGCUAGAUGGUGGGGUAACGGCUCACCAUGGCAAUGAUACGUAGCCGACCUGAGAGGGUAAUCGGCCACAUUGGGACUGAGACACGGCCCAAACUCCUACGGGAGGCAGCAGUAGGGAAUCUUCCACAAUGGACGAAAGUCUGAUGGAGCAACGCCGCGUGAGUGAAGAAGGGUUUCGGCUCGUAAAACUCUGUUGUUGAAGAAGAACAUAUCUGAGAGUAACUGUUCAGGUAUUGACGGUAUUUAACCAGAAAGCCACGGCUAACUACGUGCCAGCAGCCGCGGUAAUACGUAGGUGGCAAGCGUUGUCCGGAUUUAUUGGGCGUAAAGCGAGCGCAGGCGGUUUUUUAAGUCUGAUGUGAAAGCCUUCGGCUCAACCGAAGAAGUGCAUCGGAAACUGGGAAACUUGAGUGCAGAAGAGGACAGUGGAACUCCAUGUGUAGCGGUGAAAUGCGUAGAUAUAUGGAAGAACACCAGUGGCGAAGGCGGCUGUCUGGUCUGUAACUGACGCUGAGGCUCGAAAGUAUGGGUAGCAAACAGGAUUAGAUACCCUGGUAGUCCAUACCGUAAACGAUGAAUGCUAAGUGUUGGAGGGUUUCCGCCCUUCAGUGCUGCAGCUAACGCAUUAAGCAUUCCGCCUGGGGAGUACGGCCGCAAGGCUGAAACUCAAAGGAAUUGACGGGGGCCCGCACAAGCGGUGGAGCAUGUGGUUUAAUUCGAAGCUACGCGAAGAACCUUACCAGGUCUUGACAUACUAUGCAAAUCUAAGAGAUUAGACGUUCCCUUCGGGGACAUGGAUACAGGUGGUGCAUGGUUGUCGUCAGCUCGUGUCGUGAGAUGUUGGGUUAAGUCCCGCAACGAGCGCAACCCUUAUUAUCAGUUGCCAGCAUUAAGUUGGGCACUCUGGUGAGACUGCCGGUGACAAACCGGAGGAAGGUGGGGAUGACGUCAAAUCAUCAUGCCCCUUAUGACCUGGGCUACACACGUGCUACAAUGGAUGGUACAACGAGUUGCGAACUCGCGAGAGUAAGCUAAUCUCUUAAAGCCAUUCUCAGUUCGGAUUGUAGGCUGCAACUCGCCUACAUGAAGUCGGAAUCGCUAGUAAUCGCGGAUCAGCAUGCCGCGGUGAAUACGUUCCCGGGCCUUGUACACACCGCCCGUCACACCAUGAGAGUUUGUAACACCCAAAGUCGGUGGGGUAACCUUUUAGGAACCAGCCGCCUAAGGUGGGACAGAUGAUUAGGGG
rnacentral:rRNA from 2 species